GGGAAUGUGGCUUUGUGGUAGAGUGCUUGCCUAGCACGCAUGAAGCUCUGGGUUCAAUUCCUCAGUACCA
rnacentral:tRNA from 1 species